rnacentral:misc_RNA from 1 species
UUUCUGUGAACUGCUAAAGGCUCUAUUUUUGGACCUUUUGUUUGCCUUCGGGUUGGUUUUAUUAUCAACCCGAAAGAUAAAACUCCAAUAAAUUUUUGUCAAAAAAUCAUAAACAAGAAAUUCAAAACUUUCAACAACGGAUCUCUUGGUUCUCGCAUCGAUGAAGAACGCAGCGAAAUGCGAUACGUAAUGUGAAUUGCAGAAUUUUGUGAAUCAUCGAAUCUUUGAACGCACAUUGCGCCUUUUGGUAUUCCAGAAGGCAUGCCUGUUUCAGCGUCAUUUCUCUCUCACCUUGGUGGUUUUGUUGUAUCUCUCUACCCUUUUUUUUUAGGGAAGAGAGUGCAAUGAAAGGAAAUGGCAGAGCUUUGAUUCUGUGGUAUAAAGUGUUUUAGGUUCUACCAACUACGCUUACAACCUGGAUCAAUAAGCCGGCUUGAUAAGUCUUUUUUCAAGUUGACC